rnacentral:rRNA from 1 species
AUUGAACGCUGGCGGCAGGCCUAACACAUGCAAGUCGAGCGGAGCGGCGGACGGGUGAGUAAUGCCUAGGAAUCUGCCUGGUAGUGGGGGAUAACGUCCGGAAACGGGCGCUAAUACCGCAUACUAUCAGAUGAGCCUAGAUGGGAUUAGCUAGUAGGUGGGGUAACGGCUCACCUAGGCGACGAUCCCUAGCUGGUCUGAGAGGAUGACCAGCCAAACUGGAAGUGAGACACGUGCCAGACGCCAGCUGGAGGCAGCCGUGGGUAAGAUGGCACAAGGGGCGAAAGCCUGAGGCAGCCAUGAGGGGGGGAGGAAGAAGGCAGGCGGAGUGGAAAGGACUUUCAGCGGGGAGGCGGUACCCGAAGAAGAAGCACCGGCUAACUCCGUUCCAGCAGACGCGGGAAUUA